rnacentral:lncRNA from 1 species
CUUGUGGUGCUGCUGGGUAGACAUUUGGCACAUUUGUUGUCAUAAAAUCUGCAAUCUGCUGUAAAGCCAAUAAACCUGUUGGAUUCUUCCCCUUCUUAAAUUGUUCCUGGAUCAUAGACUCCAAUUCUUCACAAAAAGCUGGGCUUUGAAGAAUCAUGGAGACUCUCUUCUUCUGUUCCAUCAUGUUAAAAUCCUGGCGAAGGUCAGGUGCCAUAUUCCUCUCUCUCAAGUAAUCUGGAUUAUUCUCAUCAACUCGAUCAAAAUACCUCUCUUUAUGAGGGGCUGUUGUUGGAGGUGGCGAGGUCACCACCGCCACGCCAGAAUCACCAUUCAUAGUACGGCUUUAUGGAACCCGAGGGCAGAUGAGAAAAAGCAGCGGGCACCGGCGCGACGGAAGGAGAAAGACGGGGCCGCUACGGGCAACCUCUCCGCCGAGCCCGUCGCCUCUGCCUCUGGCCCCAGCGCCG